UCAACCUCAGCCAAAACUCCAGCCUCUGUACGUGAACGAGACGGAGAAGUAGUCCGCGAAAAUCUCAACAAUUUUGUUAGCGUUUGCCACGGAUUCUUCGACCUAUAAAUACCCCCCAACCCUCCUCUAUUUUAUUCCCCUAAAACCCCCAAUUUUUGCGCCGCCAGGCUGCGCAAAUUUCUCGCCGGAGUUCACGGCGCCGCCACCAUCGCUGAGCUUCGAAGACCGCUAAGAAGCCGGAACAUUGUCGCCGGAGUUGUUCUGAAGACAAGAACGACCAGCUGAGUGUGCCGCCCGGUGUUGUCGUUGUCCCGUUGUCGCCGUCGUUCAGGAUCGCGAGAACCGUCGCCAAGAACACUGCCGGCACUGCCACUGUCCGCCGCAUCGCUCAGACCACCUCGCCGCCGUUGCGAAUCAUCCGGAGACGCUCGCCCGAGCCAUCACCUUGCCGCGUCUGUGCCACAAUUGCCCGGAUUGUAACGAGUGCGAUUGCGACGACUGUCUGAACACCGACCAAGG